rnacentral:rRNA from 1 species
GGGUUGUGAGGUUAAGCGACCAAGCGUACACGGUGGAUGCCCUGGCAGUCAGAGGCGAUGAAGGACGUGCUAAUCUGCGAAAAGCGCCGGUAAGGUGAUAUGAACCGUUAUAACCGGCGAUGUCCGAAUGGGGAAACCCAGUGUGACUCGUCACACUAUCAUUAACUGAAUCCAUAGGUUAAUGAGGCGAACCGGGGGAACUGAAACAUCUAAGUACCCCGAGGAAAAGAAAUCAACCGAGAUUCCCCCAGUAGCGGCGAGCGAACGGGGAGCAGCCCAGAGCCUGAAUCAGCAUAUGUGUUAGUGGAAGCGUCUGGAAAGGCGCGCGAUACAGGGUGACAGCCCCGUACACAAAAGCGCAUAUGCUGUGAGCUCGAUGAGUAGGGCGGGACACGUGGUAUCCUGUCUGAAUAUGGGGGGACC